rnacentral:rRNA from 1 species
ACUCCUACGGGAGGCAGCAGUGAGGAAUAUUGGUCAAUGACGCAAGUCUGAACCAGCCAUGUCGCGUGCAGGAAGACUGCCCUAUGGGUUGUAAACUGCUUUUAUACGGGAAGAAAUAUAGCUACGUGUAGUUAUUUGCCGGUACCGUAUGAAUAAGCAUCGGCUAACUCCGUGCCAGCAGCCGCGGUAAUACGGAGGAUGCGAGCGUUAUCCGGAUUCAUUGGGUUUAAAGGGUGCGUAGGCGGAAGUAUAAGUCAGGGGUGAAAGUUUGUGGCUCAACCAUAAAAUUGCCUUUUGAUACUGUAUUUCUUGAGUACAUUUGAGGUAGGCGGAAUGUGUUGUGUAGCGGUGAAAUGCUUAGAUAUAACACAGAACACCGAUUGCGAAGGCAGCUUACUAAACUGUAACUGACGCUGAUGCACGAAAGCGUGGGGAUCGAACAGGAUUAGAUACCCUGGUAGCACAGAG